AACGAACGCUGGCGGCAUGCCUAACACAUGCAAGUCGAACGAAGGCUUCGGCCUUAGUGGCGCACGGGUGCGUAACGCGUGGGAACCUGCCCCUCGGUUCGGAAUAACAGUUAGAAAUGACUGCUAAUACCGGAUGAUGACUUCGGUCCAAAGAUUUAUCGCCGAGGGAUGGGCCCGCGUAGGAUUAGCUAGUUGGUGGGGUAAAGGCCUACCAAGGCGACGAUCCUUAGCUGGUCUGAGAGGAUGAUCAGCCACACUGGGACUGAGACACGGCCCAGACUCCUACGGGAGGCAGCAGUGGGGAAUAUUGGACAAUGGGCGAAAGCCUGAUCCAGCAAUGCCGCGUGAGUGAUGAAGGCCUUAGGGUUGUAAAGCUCUUUUACCAGGGAUGAUAAUGACAGUACCUGGAGAAUAAGCUCCGGCUAACUCCGUGCCAGCAGCCGCGGUAAAGUAGACGU
rnacentral:rRNA from 1 species